rnacentral:rRNA from 1 species
CUACGGAGGGUGCGAGCGUUAUUCGGAAUCACUGGGCGUAAAGCGCACGUAGGCGGACUGGAAAGUUGGGGGUGAAAUCCCGGGGCUCAACCCCGGAACUGCCUCCAAAACUUCCAAUCUAGAGAUCGAGAGAGGUGAGUGGAAUUCCAAGUGUAGAGGUGAAAUUCGUAGAUAUUUGGAGGAACACCAGUGGCGAAGGCGGCUCACUGGCUCGAUACUGACGCUGAGGUGCGAAAGCGUGGGGAGCAAACAGGAUUAGAUACCCUAGUAGUCC